UACAGAGGUCUCAAGCGUUGUUCGGAUUCAUUGGGCGUAAAGGGUGCGUAGGUGGCGCGGUAAGUCGGGUGUGAAAUUUCGGAGCUUAACUCCGAAACUGCAUUCGAUACUGCCGUGCUUGAGGACUGGAGAGGAGACUGGAAUUUACGGUGUAGCAGUGAAAUGCGUAGAUAUCGUAAGGAAGACCAGUGGCGAAGGCGGGUCUCUGGACAGUUCCUGACACUGAGGCAACGAAGGCCCAGGGGGAGCAAACGGG
rnacentral:rRNA from 1 species